rnacentral:rRNA from 1 species
UACGUAGGGUGCGAGCGUUAAUCGGAAUUACUGGGCGUAAAGCGUGCGCAGGCGGUUAUGUAAGACAGAUGUGAAGUCCCCGGGCUCAACCUGGGAACUGCACUUGUGACUGCAUAGCUAGAGUACGGUAGAGGGGGAUGGAAUUCCGCGUGUAGCAGUGAAAUGCGUAGAUAUGCGGAGGAACACCGAUGGCGAAGGCAAUCCCCUGGACCUGUACUGACGCUCAUGCACGAAAGCGUGGGGAGCAAACAGG